rnacentral:sRNA from 13 species
GAGUUAUGCGCCUUUGAAGUUGGAAGUGAGAGAGUGAGAGACACUAGAGAAGGAGACAGUCGUUAUCUCUGCCGCCUCUCACUCUCUCACCUCCAACUUCAAAGGCUCAUAACUC